GGUAGCUAAAUGCAGAAGAGAUAAGGGCUGAAAGCAUCUAAGCACGAAACUUGCCACUAGAUGAGUUCUCCCUGACUCCUUGAGAGUCCUGAAGGAACGUUGAAGACGACGACGUUGAUAGGCCGGGUGUGUAAGCGCAGCGAUGCGUUGAGCUAACCGGUACUAAUGAACCGUGAGGCUUAACCUUACAACGCCGAAG
rnacentral:rRNA from 1 species